rnacentral:lncRNA from 1 species
UGCGUGACCCCAUACCUAUGACUACCCAUACGAGCCGAAGGCCCAAGGGCAAUACUACAACGCCUAAAAGCCACGGAGGAAAGGAAAACACCGCACAUCAGCCCAGACUAGCGUCCAAAGGGGGUAAUUGAGUUUCGGUGAGCCCACAUACGUUCCAACAUCCUCGCAAGACGUACUGGUUCCCAUUUCAUGUUGUAUGUGUUGGUCGCAUACUCAGUUCACGCUUCACGCAGUCUAAUGAGAGGAUAGCAUGCUUGCCCUAUGGCAUAAAACGGGGGUAACCCCCCCUUAAGCGUAACCCAGGGGUUACCCAUGUGGCUAUGUACGAAGGGAGGUGGGUAACCUAACCCCGGGGUAUGGGUAACCCCUUACCGAUGGGUAACAAAGGGGUCGGGGUAAUACACUACUGAUGGGUAACAGACAGGGUAACCUUUGUUUACAUUCACCUGCGCCUGUCUCGCCUGUCUACACACGCAAACAUACAUGCCAGGCAGGCAGGCGGCUGGCAGAAGUUAAGGCCUGACUUCUGCUCCCAGUCGAUCCAGUCGACCCGGGUUCAAAUCCGCCUGCCAGCUCCUCGGGUGUUUGAGGAGUGAUGAAAUGGGAGGUGGCCCCCCAUCAUAUGGACGGUGUAGGACGUGAUAAUAUCAACUUGCGACCUGACCAGGAACUAAGUUGAUGCGCCGUUGAUCCGCUAGAUUUGGUUGGAUGCUGGUGGUGAGUUGCCGAACCCAACGAAUACAUUCUGAAGUCGGAUGGGGUGACGGAUUAGGGUGCCCCUCUAGCAGGGGAGAGCAGGGACUGCCCCGGGAAAGGGGGCCGCUGGCGAAGUUAACCACCCUGUAACAACAUACAUACAUGCCUUCACCGAUCACUUGUGAAUGCCCAAUUAUCAACGUUGCCGCAACAAAACAUGCCUUGUUUUGAAACCUAAACCUAAGGAUAAGGCACACAGCUGCAGCCUAGAUGCAAGGAGGCGGACGAACACGCGUACAUAGGCAGAGCAAAUUGGGGACCACGAGAAGCCGCCAGCGAAGCCAAUAAAUAUUCCUAUCAAAAGAUCCAGGCACUUACCGCCGCUCCGGACCCAAGACCUAAAAGAUGUAAGGUCGGCCAGUAGCUUAAGUGCCCCGUCCCGACCUGCUGAUUCCAGCUCUACGCACGACCUAUGCAACAUUAUCCAGAGUCUGUUCGUUUUCAGAGCAGGCUCUCCUAAGAGCGUCGAGGGUCUUGGGCGGGAGAUCCGGAUGUUUGACCCCGAACAAGGUCACACCCGGCGAAGUGUAAGGUGCCUUUCCAGGUAAAAAU